AGGGCACCACCAGGAGUGGAGCCUGCGGCUCAGUUUGACUCAACACGGGAAACCUCACCAGGCCCAGACACCGGGGGGAUUGACAGAUUGAGAGCUCUUUCUUGAUUCGGUGGGUGGUGGUGCAUGGCCGUUCUUAGUUGGUGGAGCGAUUUGUCUGGUUAAUUCCGAUAACGAACGAGACUCUAGCCUGCUAAAUAGUCGCAUCCGGUAUCCUCUGUGCUACCGGCGACCAACAAUCUUCUUAGAGGGACAGGCGGCUUCUAGCCGCACGAGAUUGAGCAAUAACAGGUCUGUGAUGCCCUUARAUGUUCUGGGCCGCACGCGCGCUACACUGAAGGAAUCAGCGUGUCCUCCCUGGCCGAAAGGUCCGGGUAACCCGCUGAAYCUCCUUCGUGCCAGGGAUUGGGGCUUGCAAUUGUUCCCCAUGAACGAGGAAUUCCCAGUAAGCGCGAGUCAUAAGCUCGCGUUGAUUACGUCCCUGCCCUUUGUACACACCGCCCGUCGCUACUACCGAUUGAA
rnacentral:rRNA from 1 species